CCGAAGUGCCGUAGCUAACGCGUUAAGUAUCCCGCCUGGGGAGUACGCACGCAAGUGUGAAACUCAAAGGAAUUGACGGGGGCCCGCACAAGCGGUGGAGUAUGUGGUUUAAUUCGAUGCAACGCGAAGAACCUUACCAGGACUUGACAUGUCGCGAAUCCAGUGGAAACACAGGAGUGCCUUCGGCCGCGUCGACCAGGUGGUGCAUGGUUGUCGUCAGCUCGUGUCGUGAGAUGUUGGGUUAAGUCCCGCAACGAGCGCAACCCCUAUUGUUAGUUGCUACGCAAGAGCACUCUAGCGAGACUGCCGUUGACAAAACGGAGGAAGGUGGGGACGACGUCAAAUCAUCAUGCCCCUUAUGUCCUGGGCCACACACGUACUACAAUGGCGGUUAACAAAGAGAGGCAAUACCGCGAGGUGGAGCAAAUCUCAAAAAGCCGUCCCAGUUCGGAUUGCAGGCUGCAACCCGCCUGCAUGAAGUUGGAAUCGCUAGUAAUCGCGGAUCAGCAUGCCGCGGUGAAUACGUUCCC
rnacentral:rRNA from 1 species